UAGGUGCUUGCACCAACUUGCUUCUAGUGGCGAAUGGGUGAGUAACACGUGAGAAAUCUGCCCUUUAGACUGGGAUAACUACUGGAAACGGUUUGUAAUACCGGAUGUGCUUUUUAUACCGCAUGGUAUUUAAAGGAAAGCUUAGAUGCACUAAAGGAUGAUCUCGCGGCGUAUUAGUUAGUUGGUGAGGUAGUAGCUCACCAAGACAAUGAUACGUAGCCGGCCUGAGAGGGUGACCGGCCACACUGGGACUGAGACACGGCCCAGACUCC
rnacentral:rRNA from 1 species